rnacentral:snoRNA from 1 species
UUGCAAGCCUGGUGUGCAGGGGCUGCAAAUACAUCCUUUGUUGUUGCAUUCAGCCUGUUGCUUGUAUGAGCUGCCUGAAGGGACAAAGGGACAGUU